rnacentral:rRNA from 1 species
AACGCUAGCUACAGGCUUAACACAUGCAAGUCGAGGGGAAACGACAUCGAAAGCUUGCUUUUGAUGGGCGUCGACCGGCGCACGGGUGAGUAACGCGUAUCCAACCUGCCCACCACUUGGGGAUAACCUUGCGAAAGUAAGACUAAUACCCAAUGAUAUCUCUAGAAGACAUCUGAAAGAGAUUAAAGAUUUAUCGGUGAUGGAUGGGGAUGCGUCUGAUUAGCUUGUUGGCGGGGUAACGGCCCACCAAGGCGACGAUCAGUAGGGGUUCUGAGAGGAAGGUCCCCCACAUUGGAACUGAGACACGGUCCAAACUCCUACGGGAGGCAGCAGUGAGGAAUAUUGGUCAAUGGGCGAGAGCCUGAACCAGCCAAGUAGCGUGCAGGAUGACGGCCCUAUGGGUUGUAAACUGCUUUUAUAAGGGAAUAAAGUGAGCCUCGUGAGGCUUUUUGCAUGUACCUUAUGAAUAAGGACCGGCUAAUUCCGUGCCAGCAGCCGCGGUAAUACGGAAGGUCCGGGCGUUAUCCGGAUUUAUUGGGUUUAAAGGGAGCGUAGGCCGGAGAUUAAGCGUGUUGUGAAAUGUAGACGCUCAACGUCUGCACUGCAGCGCGAACUGGUUUCCUUGAGUACGCACAAAGUGGGCGGAAUUCGUGGUGUAGCGGUGAAAUGCUUAGAUAUCACGAAGAACUCCGAUUG